GCUGGGUGUGGUGGUAUGCACCUGUAAUGCCAGCUACUCAGGAAGCUGAGGCAGGAGGAUCACUUGAGCCCAGGAGUUUGAGACUAGCUUAGACAAUGAGGUGAGAUCCUGUCUUAA
rnacentral:sRNA from 1 species